AGUGAACGCUGGCGGUAGGCCUAACACAUGCGAGUCGAACGGCAGCACAGGAGAGCUUGCUCUCUGGGUGGCGAGUGGCGGACGGGUGAGGAAUACAUCGGAAUCUACUCUGUCGUGGGGGAUAACGUAGGGAAACUUACGCAAUACCGCAUACGACCUACGGGUGAAAGCAGGGGAUCUUCGGACCUUGCGCGAUUGAAUGAGCCGAUGUCGGAUUAGCUAGUUGGCGGGGUAAAGGCCCACCAAGGCGACGAUCCGUAGCUGGUCUGAGAGGAUGAUCAGCCACACUGGAACUGAGACACGGUCCAGACUCCUACGGGAGGCAGCAGUGGGGAAUAUUGGACAAUGGGCGCAAGCCUGAUCCAGCCAUACCGCGUGGGUGAAGAAGGCCUUCGGGUUGUAAAGCCCUUUUGUUGGGAAAGAAAUCCAGCUGGCUAAUACCCGGUUGGGAUGACGGUACCCAAAGAAUAAGCACCGGCUAACUUCGUGCCAGCAGCAGCCGCGG
rnacentral:rRNA from 1 species